rnacentral:rRNA from 1 species
ACCGUCCUACGGGGGGCAGCAGUGGGGAAUAUUGCACAAUGGGGGAAACCCUGAUGCAGCGACGCCGCGUGAGCGAUGAAGUAUUUCGGUAUGUAAAGCUCUAUCAGCAGGGAAGAAGAUGACGGUACCUGACUAAGAAGCCCCGGCUAACUACGUGCCAGCAGCCGCGGUAAUACGUAGGGGGCAAGCGUUAUCCGGAUUUACUGGGUGUAAAGGGAGCGUAGACGGCGG